GUAGGACCCUUCAGAGCACAUCUUGUAGGACCAAUCCAGUGGUGAUGGAUUCCCUCAGCUUUUGCUUGUCUGGCACUUAUAUAUCAUCCAAUUUUCUCCCGGCCUGUAAGGUUACUGCUGAGAAUCUACUGUUAGUCUGAUGGAGAUUCCCUCAUAAGUGACCAGAUGCUUUCUCUUGCUGCUUUUAGAAUUAUCUCAUUGUUUUUCACUUUGACAGUUUGACUAUAAUGUAUGGAGAUUUUUUGAAUCGUAUCUGUUUGGGGAUCUCUAAGCUUUCUGAAUCUGUAUGUGUAAAUCUCUUGCUAGAUGGGAAGUUUUUAGCUAUUAUCUUGUGAAAUAGGUUUUGUAUCCCUUUGGUUGACUCUUCACAUCCUGGGACACUGAAAUUUUGAAUAUUUG
rnacentral:lncRNA from 10 species